rnacentral:rRNA from 1 species
UAUUGUCGACAAUGGGGGAAACGCUGAUCCAGCCAUCAGGCGUGUAUGAUGAUGGCCNNNGGGUUNUCAAGUACUUUUGGCAGNGAANCAAAGGUAGCAACUAAUACGAGGUACUGCUGACGGUAUCUGAGGUAUCAGAACCGGCUACCUACGUACCAGCAGCCGCGGUACUACGUCGGGUGCAAGCGAUAAUCUGAAUUACUGGGCGUAAAGCGUGUGUACGCGGUUCGGAAAGAAAGAUGUAAAAUCCCAUGGCUCAAACUUGGACCUGCAUUAUGAACCGCCGAGCUAUAGUAUGUCAGAUGGGGGUAGAAUUCCACGUUUAGCAGUGAAAAGCGUAGAUAUGUGGAGGAAUACCGAUCGCGACCGCAGCCCCCUAGGAUAAUACUGACGCUCAGACACGAAGGCGUAAGGACCAAACAGG